rnacentral:rRNA from 1 species
CGCUGGCGGCGUGCUUACACAUGCAAGUCGAGCGAGAAGCCAAUGUUUGAUUCUUCGGAAGAUUACUUUGGUGGAAAGCGGCGGACGGGUGAGUAACGCGUGGGCAACCUACCUUAUACAGGGGGACAACAUCGGGAAACCGGUGCUAAUACCGCAUAACACAUUGAAAUGGAAUCAUUAUGAUGUCAAAGGAGGAAUCCGGUAUAAGAUGGGCCCGCGUCCAAUUAGCUAGUUGGUGAGGUAACGGCUCACCAAGGCGACGAUUGGUAGCCGAACUGAGAGGUUGAUCGGCCACAUUGGGACUGAGACACGGCCCAGACUCCUACGGGAGGCAGCAGUGGGGAAUAUUGCACAAUGGGGGAAACCCUGAUGCAGCAACGCCGCGUGAAGGAUGAAGGUCUUCGGAUUGUAAACUUCUUUGAUUGGGGAAGAAGAAGUGACGGUACCCAAAAAACAAGCCACGGCUAACUACGUGCCAGCAGCCGCGGUAAUACGUAGGUGGCAAGCGUUGUCCGGAAUUACUGGGUGUAAAGGGCGUGUAGGCGGGGAUGCAAGUCAGGUGUGAAAGCCCAUGGCUCAACUGUGGGACUGCAUCUGAAACUGAAUCUCUUGAGUACUGGAGAGGGAAGUGGAAUUCCUAGUGUAGCGGUGAAAUGCGUAGAGAUUAGGAGGAACACCAGUGGCGAAGGCGGCUUCCUGGACAGUAACUGACGCUGAGGCGCGAAAGCGUGGGGAGCGAACAGGAUUAGAUACCCUGGUAGUCCACGCCGUAAACGAUGGAUACUAGGUGUAGGAGGUAUCGACCCCUUCUGUGCCGGAGUUAACACAUUACGUAUCCCACCUGGGGA